CGUAUAAUAUACACUUGCAGCACUGGAUGUGGAAGGAAUAUUCAGAAGGUCUGCCAAUGCUGUCAACUUGAAAGCAGUGCAGAAAAAAUUUAAUCAUGGGGAGAAGGUAGAUUUCUCAGUGGAGGGCGAUGAACACAUUCCAGCCGUGGCGCUAAAAAUCUUCCUACGAGACCUUAAGGAACCCCUUCUAACCUUUGACCUUUAUCAACCAAUACUCAGGCUUCACACGGUUGAAGACGAGAGGAAGGUGUCAGAGGUGAGAAGAAUGCUGCAUGAGGAGCUGCCAGAGGACAACUACCAGAUCCUCAAGGUCAUCAUCAAGCUCCUCACAGAGGUGGUGGACCAUUCUGCCAUGAACAAAAUGAAUUCCUCCAAUCUUGCCAUUGUGUUUGGACCAAAUCUGUUAUGGCCAAAGGGACAAGCCUCUCUGUCCAGCAUGGGAUACCUCAAUAAUUUUGCAUGGAAAAUUAACAUUUUACAUGUACAGUGAACUGUUUGACAGAUAGUAGGUCAUGACCUUUAGCUGGUACUCUGAUAAACUGGUUCCUACCCACACACUGACACUUUACAAUUGUCUUCUGGUAACCAGUUCUUCUAAAGAUUUUGGCGCCAAGAAGUCUUUUUCAGUUUGAAUAUUUAGAAAAAUUUCUCCUUUCUUAUAAGGACCACUAUGUAGGAGGCAGCUAAAUGUUUUAAUCAGUUCUGUAAUCAUUUCAAACUUUUUUUUAUUUUUUCGUUCUUUGUGUAAAUUAUAGUAUGUGUCCUCAUUAGGUCAUGUCCAUAUCAAAUAAAUGAUGUCUGCAGAAUUUGGUCAUUUAUUUGAACUAGUCAAAAGGGGGGUUUAUACAUGCACAUGUACUUUGUAAACAGUGAGACAUAAAAUAACAGAUUAUUUGAAGACAGUUCAUAAUGUGUCUUGCUAAAAACUGAACUUUGCUUUCAACUAAAAUGUUUCUUUAAAGAAAUGACUCAUUGAAUGUUUUGUUAUGCAUUUUUAUAACUAUUAUAUGAUUCUAUAUUGUUAUGUUUGAUAUCUGUGUAUACAUGGUAUAUACAAUUAGUGUUACUUAUAACUAGGAUGUACAUAGUGGUAGUAUUUAUAGUAGUUCUUCCAGGAGCAGGUCUAAGUAGGGAUAGAAAAAUCCACAACAAGUUGUAUAUGAAUGAAAUACUCCAGUCUGACAAUUAUUAUAUAUAAAAGAAUGAGUGUUUAGUUUUCAUUCACAGGCAUUUCUGAAAAAAUUAAAGUGCUGUUGAUCAGCCCCAAAGGUACAAGUCAAUGAAAGUGGCUGAUAUUGUAUUUUAAUGAUAUGUAAACAUUGAAUUGUUCAUUAACUCUCUAAACUGAUUUGUACAUGAUAUAAUGGAAAAAAAUUCUCUAAAGCAUUUCCUUUUAAUAAAA